rnacentral:rRNA from 1 species
UGUCGUCAGCUCGUGUUGUGAAAUGUUGGGUUAAGUCCCGCAACGAGCGCAACCCUUAUCCUUUGUUGCCAGCGGUCCGGCCGGGAACUCAAAGGAGACUGCCAGUGAUAAACUGGAGGAAGGUGGGGAUGACGUCAAGUCAUCAUGGCCCUUACGACCAGGGCUACACACGUGCUACAAUGGCGCAUACAAAGAGAAGCGACCUCGCGAGAGCAAGCGGACCUCAUAAAGUGCGUCGUAGUCCGGAUUGGAGUCUGCAACUCGACUCCAUGAAGUCGGAAUCGCUAGUAAUCGUGGAUCAGAAUGCCACGGUGAAUACGUUCCCGGGCCUUGUACACACCGCCCGUCACACCAUGGGAGUGGGUUGCAAAAGAAGUAGGUAGCUUAACCUUCGGGAGGGCGCUUACCACUUUGUGAUUCAUGACUGGGGUGAAGUCGUAACAAGGUAACCGUAGGGGAACCUGCGGUUGGAUC